GAUUAAGUUAUUAAGGGUGCACGGUGGAUGCCUUGGCACUAGAAGCCGAUGAAGGACGUUACUAACGACGAUAUGCUUUGGGGAGCUGUAAGUAAGCUUUGAUCCAGAGAUUUCCGAAUGGGGAAACCC
rnacentral:rRNA from 1 species